rnacentral:rRNA from 1 species
UAAUACGGGGGAUGCAAGCGUUAUCCGGAAUUAUUGGGCGUAAAGCGUCCGCAGGUGGUUGUGCAAGUCUGCUGUUAAAUCGUGGGGCUUAACUCCAUAACGGCGGUGGAAACUGCACAACUUGAGUUUGGUAGGGGUCACGGGAAUUCCCAGUGUAGCGGUGAAAUGCGUAGAUAUUGGGAAGAACACCAGCGGCGAAAGCGCGUGACUGGGCCAAAACUGACACUCAUGGACGAAAGCUAGGGGAGCGAAAGGGAUUAGAUACCCCUGUAGUCCUAGCCGUAAACGAUGGAUACUAGGUGUUGCCCGUAUCGACCCGGGCAGUGCCGUAGCUAACGCGUUAAGUAUCCCGCCUGGGGAGUACGCACGCAAGUGUG